AAGUCUCUUUAUUCUUGUUUAUAAGUAAUGAAUAAUAGAUUUGAAAUAUUUAUUAUAUAGAUUUAAAGAAAUAAUCAUAGAAUACAUAAGUUAUUAAUAGUUAUUAGGUUACUAAUAAAUUUAAUUUUAAUACCUAAGGGAAACCUAUUAUAUAUAAAUUAUUAAAUAAUUUAUAUAUUUAUAUAUAUAUACUAAGUGAACUGAAACAUCUAAGUAACUUAAGGAAAAUAAAUCAACCGAGAUAUUAUAAGUAUUGGUGAGAGAAAAUAAUAUAGUCAAAUAAGUAUUAUGUAAUAUAAUUAUGUAAGAAUAUAGGACAAACUAGUUCUAAGACUAAAUACUAUUAAUAAACAAAAUAAGUACCGAAAGGGAAAGUAUGUAAGUGGUUAUUUUAUAAGUAAUCAUAGAUAUAAUUAUUAUAUUAAUGAUGUACCUUUUGUAUAAUGGGUCAGCAAGUAAUUAAUAUUAGCAAAAUAAUAUUAUAAAUAAUUUGAAAUAAUUUAACUUUUCUUAAUUGAUAAAGUUAUUAAAUAGUUAAUAUUAAUUGACCCGAAAGCAAAUGAUCUUACUAUGACCAGACGGUUAAACGGUCGAACAGGUUGAUGUUGCAAUAUCAUCUGAUGAGUUGUGGUAAGUAGUGAAAGACAAAUCUGAUUUGCAGAUAGCUGGUUUUCUACGAAAUAUAUGUUAGUAUAGCUUUUAUAUAAUAAUAAUUAUUAUAAUAUAUAUUAUAUAAUAUAUAUUAUAAAGAACGGUACAGCAACAAAUAUAUUUAGGGGAACUAUUGUAGUUUUAUCAAAAAUAUUUGAUCUCGGAAUGUUUAAUUAUAACUCAUUAUUCUUCUCCUUUAAAGGGAAUAAAAUAAAGAGAAAAAUAUAAAAAGUCAGAUUAUGUGCGAUAAGGUAAAUAAUCUAAAGGGAAACAGCCCAGAUUAAGAUAUAAGGUUCCUAAUUAAUAAUAAUAAUAAGUGAAAUAAAUAUUAAAAUAUUAUAAUACAAUCAGUUAAUGGGUUUGACAAUAACCAUAUUUUUAAUGAACAUGUAACAAUGCACUGAUCUAAUAAUUAUAAAUAAUAUUAAAAAUCAAAUAUAUUUCAUAUAUUUGUUAAUAAAUAAUAUACGGAUCUUAAAUAAAAAAAAAAAAUAAGAAUUAUUUAACCGAAUAUCUAAAUAUUAUUAUUAAAUAAUAAUAAUAAUAAUAUGGUAGUAGAACAUUUAAUGAAAAAAUAUAUUAAUUAUUAAUUAAUAUAUAAUUUUUAAAAAUAAAUAAAUCUUUUUUAAAGAUUAAAUAUUUAGAAAUAUAAAUAAUUAAAUAGAGAAUGCUGACAUGAGUAACGAAAAAAAGGUUAAUCCUUUUCACCUAAAACAUAAGGUUUUACUAUAAAAGUACGGCCCUUAAUUAAAUUAUAAAAAUAUAUUUAUGAUAGGAUAAUUCUAAAUAAAAAUAUAUAUCUUUUAUUAUAUAUAUUAUAUAUAUAAAACUAUAAAAGAUCAAGAAAUAUAUUUAAAGAAUACCGUAAUGUAUACCGACUCAGGUAUGUUAGUAGAGAAUAUGAAGGUGAAUUAGAUAAUUAAAGGGAAGGAACUCGGCAAAAAUAGCUCUAACGUUAGUCAAUAAAGAGAUUUAAAAACAAGGUUGUACAACUGUUUAAUAAAAACACCGCACUUUGCAUAAACGAUAAGUUAACGUAUAAGGUGUGAACUCUGCUCCAUGCUUAAUAUAUAAAUAAUAUUAUUUAACGAUAAUAUUAUUAAAUUUAAGUAAAUAGCAGCCUUAUUAUGAGGGUUCUAAGGUAGCGAAAUUCAUUGUCCAAUAAUUAUGGUCCUGCAUGAAUGACGUAAUGAUACAACAACUGUCUCCCCUUUAAGCUAAGUGAAAUUAAAAUCGUAGUGAAGAUGCUAUGUACCUAUAGUGUGACGGAAAGACCCUAUGCAGCUUUACUGUAAUUAGAUAGAUCGAAUUAUUGUAUAUUAUAUUCAGAAUAUUAAGUAAUUGAUUAAAUAAUAAAUGAGAUACUUAUUAUAAUAAUAUAAUAAUUCUAAUCUUAUAAUAUAUUUAAUAGAUAAUAAUUAUUCUUAAAUAAAUAUUAUAUAUUUAUAUAUAUAUUUAUAUAUAUUAUAUAUAAUAAUAAUAAUAAGAGACAAUCUCUAAUUGGUAGUUUUGAUGGGGCGUCAUUUUCAGCAAAAGUAUCUGAAUAAGUCCAUAUAUAUAUUAUAAUAUUAUUAAAAAUAAUAAAAUAUAUAUUAUAUAUAUUAAUUAUAAAUAGAAAUAUAUUAGUUUUUAAUAUAUUUUAGUAAUAGAUAAAAUUAUGUACAGUAAAAAAUUGUCUAGAAAACAAUAAUAAUAAUAUAAAAAUAUAUUAUAUAAUAAAAUGUAUUAAAUUAAUAUAAUGGUUUAACUGUGCAACAAUUGUAACACAAACAAGUGAAACAAGUACGUAAGUAUGGCAUAAUGAACAAAUAACACUGAUUGUAAUGGUUAUUGAUAACGAAUAAAAGUUACGCUAGGGAUAACAGGGUAAUAUAGCGAAAGAGUAGAUAUUGUAAGCUAUGUUUGCCACCUCGAUGUCGACUCUACCUAUCCUCUUGGUUGUAAAUGCUAAGAAGGGUUUGACUGUUCGUCAAUUAAAAGGUAACGUGAGUUGGGUUAAAUACGAUGUAAAUCAGUAUGGUUCCUAUCUACUAUAGGUAAUAUUAUCAACUUAAGUCUUAUUCUUAGUACGCAAGGAUCAGAAUGAAUUAAUCUAUGGUGCAUCUAUUGAUUAUUAUAUAAUAUAUAUAUAAAUUUAUUUAUAUAUAUAUUAUCUAUAUUAGUUUAUAUUUCAAUAUAUAUAUAUAAUCAUAGUAGAUAAGCUAAAUUAAUAAAUAAUAAGUUUCCCUCACCUUUUUAAGGUGGAGGAAGCUUAAAUAAGUAUUGAAAGCAUAUAAAAUACGAAGUUGUCUUAAGAUGAGAUAAUAAUCUAAUUAUUUUAUACUAAAAUAUAAUUAAUAAUUCAUUAUUAAUUUAUAGGUUUUUUAUAUAUUUAUAUAAAAAAAUACUAAUUUAUUAGUUAUCUAU
rnacentral:rRNA from 1 species